ACCCUGGUGACCUGCGACAGAGG
rnacentral:piRNA from 1 species